UUGUUGCAGUUAAAAAGCUCGUUAGUUUGGAUUUCUGGUAGGAUGACUGUGCCCUCAGUAGAGUGUGCGCUGGCGUCUUGCCAUCCUUCUGUUAACCUUUGGGAGCUUCACCGCUCCCUUUGGGGCUCAGAUAUUUUACCUUGNAGAAAAUUAGAGUGUUUCAGGCAGGCUAGCGCCGGAAUACAUUAGCAUGGAAUAAUGGGAAUAGGGACCUUUUGGCCUCUUCCUGGUUGGGGUUCAUUGGGGGGGUUUCGAAGUUAAUGAUUAAUAGGGAUAGUUGGGGGGGCAUUUUAAGNUUACCUUUCACCUGGUNCCAGGAAGGGGUGGAAAAUUUCUCCGGGAAUUUGUGAAAGACUACUAUGCGAAGCAUUACCAGGAUGUUUUCAUUAAUCAAGAACGAAAGUUAGGGGGAUCAAAGACGAUCAGAUACCGUCCUAGUCUUAACCAUAAACUAUGCCGACUCGGGAUCGGGGGCGAGAACUAUCCGCCUUCGGCACCGUAUGAGAAAUCAAAGUCUUUGGGGUUCUGGGGGG
rnacentral:rRNA from 1 species